UGUGAUUACAGGCACCCGCCACCAUGCUCAGGUGACUGACUCAAGGCAUUUCAGGCAUGUCUCAUCCAUCUAGAGGAACCAGAAUAGAUGCUGGUGUUUCUGGGUCAACACCAGAAGCAAUCCAGAGCAAACUGAAUUCACUGUUACACUUUGAAUGCUUUCUCCAAGAGCGAACACAGGAAGUCAACAGAGAAGAGAAAGGCAACUCCAAAAUCAGAAGAGGAGAAGACAGGCAGCUUGCAUGGCCCCAACUGGCUGGAAACCAGGAGUGAAUCUUCAGAAUGGGAGAGGACCCCUCUGGCUCUGUAGCCCAGG